ACACUGCUGAAGAGUCGCACAAUAGGAUCAAACGACCGUCCAGUGU
rnacentral:hammerhead_ribozyme from 1 species